UGAUGGGGUAUUCAUGGUACUGUGUGACAUGUGCCUCCCUCAAACCUUGUUACCACCUCUGCACAUUACCAGUUUGAUG
rnacentral:snoRNA from 1 species